rnacentral:rRNA from 1 species
GGAUGCCGCAUCAUACCAGCACUACAGCACCGGAUCCCAUCAGAACUCCGAAGUUAAGCGGCUUGGGCGAGAGUAGUACUAGGACAGAAGACCACCUGGGAAGUCCUCGCGUUGCAGUCCC